UCGAACCCUGCUAGGCAGAACGACCUGUGAACAUGUAACCACAACGGGGUGACAGAAAAUUGGGCUUUGGCUUUGAUCUCCUAACCCCUCCUGACGUGCAUUAGUGGUGCCUUGUUUUAGUUCACCAUGGAUGUCUCGUCAGAUCAUAACAAACCCCGGCACGGAAUGUGCCAAGGAAAAAUCAAAAAUGAGAAGGACAUGUCUUGUAUCGCCCCGUUUGCGGUGUGCGUGCGGAUUGUGGCCUCCUUGGAAUCACAAACGACUCUCGGCAACGGAUAUCUCGGCUCACGCAUCGAUGAAGAACGYAGCAAAAUGCGAUACUUGGUGUGAAUUGCAGAAUCCCGUGAACCAUCGAGUUUUUGAACGCAAGUUGCGCCUGAUGCCAUCCGGCUGAGGGCACGCCUGCCUGGGCGUCACGCAUCMUGUCGCUCCCCACCAAAGUUCCCAACAGGUGCUUAUGGUGAUGGGGGCGGAUAAUGGCCUCCCGUGCUUGUGUUUCGGUUGGCCUAAAUAUGAGUUCCCUUAGGCGGACGCACGCGUAGUGGUGGUUGAAUAGACCCUCGGCUUGUGUUGUGUGUCGUGCGUUGUGAGGGAAGCCCUCAUUAAGGACCCCAUUGUAUCGUUUCUUAACGAUGCUUCGAC
rnacentral:misc_RNA from 1 species